AUGAUUAUGUAUCCAAGCUCGCUUAACUAAAUGGAAAAUAACAUCCAUCUUCAAUGAAUCAACGAACUUACAUCGGUCUCUAGGUCUUCACAGAAUUGGGACGAAUCGAAGGAUGGAUGCAUUCCAAAGACUGAUUAAGGUAAACAAGAGGCGUGAGAAAAUUUACCUGGUCGAAACUCCGACGGGGUUGCUUUGGAGAAUUAGGUGAUGAACUUCCUUCCCUUUGUUGUGUUCAAACUAUGUUGUCUCACUCUUCUUCUUUAAAGUUCUUUUCCUUCUACUCUACUAUUCUUGGAACUACUUUUGUUGUGAGGUUGUUGCGUUGUUGUUGCUGCAAAACAUGAGUGCAGGGAGAAUUGAGAGAGGCAAAUGAGAGAGGAUUCAACUGUGAAAGUUUCUUUGAAUUCUGCAAAUGAUCCUUAGCCUCUGAAUUGAGAUCGUUGAUGAAUAUAUAUGGCUUGGUGUUAACAAAGCUUAAAAUCUAUUAACUCAUCCAUAUGCAAUUCAGUUAAAUCGAAUUCACAAUGUUAAAGUUCUGUUAGUUAGUUAGAUGAGUAUUAGUAAGAAAAUUAGUUUAGGUUUUAUUUGAUUUUUUUUUAAUCUGAAUGUUAGUGGUUUUGUUAUUUGUUAAAUGAAAUGUUAGAUGGUCAAUUUUGAGUUAGUUUUAUUGAGCUACCAAUUUGAUGUUAACUUGUUAAUUCGUUUUUCGAAUGUGGUGUUAAAGCUCUAUUAGUUAAUAUGGAAUGUUAAUGUAGUAUGUUACGGAUGUGUUGAUUAAUUGAUGCAAGUUCUAUAAUUUCGGUUAAUAUUAUAGAGUGUUAGAAUUAGUUAUGGAUUUGUCAACGUUGCUGCUAAGUUGUUAAUGGCUCAGUGAGUUGGGUUUCUGAAUUUCUGUUGAUUGCCUGAUGAAAACAGUUGUUAUGUCGAUGAGUUACACAUUAUGGUUAAAACUAAUACCACUCCACUUGUUAAUUGGUAUUCCUAUUGUGGAAUCAUGGAUAACUUUUCAAUGUGAACAUGAGCUUGCUAGAUGUCAUGACCAUGAGACCACUUAAUUCAUGGGAAUAAGUUAUUAUAUAGAUUGAUAUGCUAGUCAUUCUUGCUGUUAUGCAUGAUGUCGCUAUUAUGGACUUGUGAACAGUGGAUGAAUGACAUAUAUGCCUUAAUGUUCUGCAGGUUUGAAAUGACUG
rnacentral:lncRNA from 1 species